GAUGAACGCUGGCGGCGUGCCUAACACAUGCAAGUCGAACGGAAUUUACAUGAAGCCUAGCGAUUGUAAAUUUAGUGGCGGACGGGUGAGUAACGCGUGGGUAACCUGCCUUGUACUGGGGGACAACAGUUGGAAACGACUGCUAAUACCGCAUAAGCGCACAGCUUCGCAUGAAGCAGUGUGAAAAACUCUGGUGGUACAAGAUGGACCCGCGUCUGAUUAGCUGGUUGGUGAGGUAACGGCCCACCAAGGCGACGAUCAGUAGCCGGCCUGAGAGGGUGAACGGCCACAUUGGGACUGAGACACGGCCCAAACUCCUACGGGAGGCAGCAGCGGGGAAUAUUGCACAAUGGGGGAAACCCUGAUGCAGCAACGCCGCGUGAGUGAAGAAGUAUUCGGUAUGUAAAGCUCUAUCAGCAGGAAAGAAAAUGACGGUACCUGACUAAGAAGCCCCGGCUAACUACGUG
rnacentral:rRNA from 1 species